rnacentral:rRNA from 1 species
GACGAACGCUGGCGGUAUGCUUAACACAUGCAAGUCGAACGGGAAGAUCAGUUAAGAACCUUCGGGGGAAUAAGUGAUUGGAAAGUGGCGAACGGGUGAGUAACGCGUGGGUAACCUGCCCUAUGGAAAGGAAUAGCCUCGGGAAACUGGGAGUAAAGCCUUAUAUUAUGGAGAGAUCGCAUGGUCAUUUCACUAUUGGAGCGGCCGAUAUCGGAUUAGCUAGUUGGUGAGGUAACGGCUCACCAAGGCGACGAUCCGUAGCUGGUUUGAGAGGACGACCAGCCACACUGGGACUGAGACACGGCCCAG